rnacentral:rRNA from 1 species
AGUCUAGCAUGUGCGCGAGUCAUUGGGAAUCAAUAAACCUAAAGGCGCAAUGAAAGUGAAAGUCUGUUUACGCGGACUUAGGGAGGAUAGGUGCGUACACCUUGUGUACAACCUCGCACUCCCGGGGCGUCUCGCACUCAUUGCGAGGUGGGGCGCACCAAGAGCGUACACGCUGGGACCCGAAAGAUGGUGAACUAUGCCUGGUCAGGACGAAGUCAGGGGAAACCCUGAUGGAGGUCCGUAGCGAUUCUGACGUGCAAAUCGAUCGUCGGAACUGGGCUUAGGGGCGAAAGACUAAUCGAACCAUCUAGUAGCUGGUUCCCACCGAAGUUUCCCUCAGGAUAGCUGGCACUAGAUUAUGGAUGAGUCUCAUCCGGUAAAGCGAAUGAUUAGAGGCAUUGGGGUCGAAACGGCCUCAACCUAUUCUCAAACUUUAAAUGGGUGAGAUCUCCGGCUUGCUCGAUUUAUGAAGCCGGAGAUCGGAUCAAUUAGUGCCAAGUGGGCCACUUUUGGUAAGCAGAACUGGCGCUGUGGGAUGAACCAAACGCAGAGUUAAAGCGCCAAAAUCGACGCUUAUGGGAUACCAUGAAAGGCGUUGGUAACUUAAGACAGCAGGACGGUGGCCAUGGAAGUC